AUCACACACUCACCUCAAAUGCUACUGUCCUGAACUCAAAAGCACACUUAAAUAUGCCAACAACAAAUGCCAACAGCCUAACAACACAAACAAAUCGACUUAAAACUCGAUUCCUUAAAUGACCCUUAUCGGAUCCACAAACAAACCAAGCAAGGUCCCUUACCAAACGAUGAUAGAACUGAGGUUACACGCUCAGCCCUAACUUCUCACAGCAACCAAACACACUUCUGAACACAGCAAUAGCACACAAAAAUCGAUUACAAAUCGAUUCCACAAAAUAACACCAAAACGAUCUCAAAAUGACCCCACGGGUCACUUACCCCAAACAAUCACUGAACCAACACCAAAGCAACCUAAACAACACCUCAAAAGCUCCACCAACACACGCUGAAGUUUCUAUCCAAAAACGAUAACCAAAAUAAGAACAUGUCCCAUGCAUCAAAACAAACUAAAAGUACUCAAAAUCGAGGUUUCCUUACCAACGAUUGACGCAACAACACCAAAGCAGUGACACGAGACUUCUUAGCCAAAAAGCCACACAUAUAGAAGCCUGCAAUAAGCCACAAAGCAGCUUACAAAAGCGCUCCAACGAAACUAAACGAAAACAAAAAGAAACGCUUACCCUUUUCGCAUUUUCUCAAGGAUCCAAGGGGCGAUUCUUCACAGCUCUGAAAGGGCUCGACUCCAACGGUUCAAAAUGAUGAAACACAUCAAAACAUACCCAGAAACAACCGAAAACAACAGCCAAACCAAACAGAAAUUGCUUACCAAUUCACGACGAGACAACACAGGCCAACCCCUUCUCACGCGGCCAGCUCUCUCUCGAAAUCUCUUUCAGCAAAGGCAUGAGCUCUCUCUAUUUCCUGAUGUUUUGCGCGGCCAGAGGUGCAAAAAGGAGAGCUUAAAUAUGCAAAAUUAGGUCAAGGGAUCUCACGGGCCAACUCUUAAGGCCACCACAAAAAGCCCACCAAAAAUCGCAAAUUCACUCGGCCCAAAAUCUCCAAAACAAGACAUUUUACUGAGUUUUGUAUUUGCUAAAAUCGGAAAUCCAUUUCAGGAAAUUUUCCAAAAUCGGCCUGAUCAUACGUCCGUAUCGCAUCCAUACGGACGCUGUCCGUUCGUCCGCAGGACGCAGUCCACGUCUGUACCGCACGUCCGCAUCAAGCGCACGGUAGCUUCGCGCCACUGGCUUUUCAACCAAGUGCGAUGACCAAUUGUGCGAAUCAAUCGCUGCAAAACCUAGGGCGCGAACCCGGGCGGAGCGGCUGCCGGUGCAGAUCUUGGUGGCAGUAGCAAAUAUUCAAAUGAGAACUUUGAAGGGCAAAGAGGGGAAAGGUUCCAUGUGAACGACACUUCCACAUGGGUUAGUUGAUCUUAAGAGUCAGGGGAAACCCGUCUGAUAGCGCCUAUGCGCGAACUUCGAAAGGGGAUCCAGUUAAAAUUUCGGAACCGAGACGUGUCGGUUGACGGCAACGUUAGGGAGUCCAGAGACGUUAGCGGGGGCCUCAGGAAGAGUUAUCUUUUUUGUUUAAUGGUCUGCCCACCUUGGAAACGGCUCAGCCGGAGGUAGGGUCGCGUGUUGUCCGGUGCGCCCCCGACGGCCCUUGAAAAUCUAGAGGACCGAGUGCCGCUCACGCCAUGUCGUACUCAUAACCGUAUCAGGUCUACAAGGUGAACAACCUCUGCUCGAUAGAACAAUGUAGGUAAGGGAAGUCGACAAAAUGGAUCCGUAACUUUGGGAAAAGGAUUGGCUCUGAGGGCUGGGCUCGAGGCUCCCAGUUCCGAACCUGUUGGCUGUCUGCGAACUGCUUGAGAUGCUUCCAUGGUGAGAGCGGGUCGCCGCAUGCCGGCCAGGGACGGACUGAGAAUGGUUCUCUCGGGAGCUUUCCUCCCGGGCAUCGACCAGUUAGCUCAGAACUGAUACGGACAAGGGGAAUCCGACUGUUUAAUUAAAAAAAAGCAUUGCGAUGGUCCCUGCGGAUGCUAACGCAAUGUGAUUUCUGCCCAGUGCUCUGAAUAUCAAAGUGAAGAAAUUCAACCAAGCGCGGAUAAACGGCGGGAGUAACUAUGACUCUCUUAAGGUAGCAAAAUGUCUCGUCAUCUAAUUAGUGACGCGCAAAAAUGGAAGAACGAGAUUCCCACUGUCCCUGUUUACUAUCCAGCGAAACCACAACCAAGGGAACAGUCUUGGCAGAAUCAGCGGGGAAAGAAGACCAUGUUGAGCUUGACUCUAGUCUGACUUUGUGAAAUGACUUGAGAGGUGUAGGAUAAGUGGGAGCUUCAGCGCAAGUGAAAUACCACUACUUUUAACGUUAUUUUAAGUACUCUAUGAGUCGGAGGUGGGGUACAACCCUGUUUUUGGACCCAAGGCUCGCUUCGGCGGGCCGAUCCUGGCGGAGGACAUUGUUAUGUGGGGAGUUCGGCUGGGGUGGCACAUCUGUUAAAAGAUAACGUAGUUAUCCUAAGUGAGCUCAACAAGAACAUAAAUCUCGUGUGGAACAAAAGGGUAAAAGCUCAUUUGAUUCUGAUUUUCAGUAAGAAUAUGAACCGUGAAAGCGUGGCCUAUCGAUCCUUUAGACUUUUGGAAUUUGAAGCUAGAGGUGUCAGAAAAGUUACCACAUGGAUAACUGGCUUGUGGCAGCCAAGCGUUCAUAGCAACGUUGCUUUCUAAUCCUUCGAUGUCGGCUCUUCCUAUCAUUGUGAAGCAGAAUUCACCAAGUGUUGGAUUGUUCACCCACCAAUAGGGAACGUGAGCUGGGUUUAGACCAUCGUGAGACAAAUUAGUUUUACCCUACUGAUGCCCACGUCGCGAUAGUAAUUCAACCUAGUACAAGAGGAACCGUUGAUUCGCAUAAUUGGUCAUCGCGCUUGGUUGAAAAGCCAGUGGCGCGAAUCUACCAUGCGCUGGAUUAUGACUAAAUGCCUCUAAGUCAGAAUUGUAAGUGGCAGAGUGGCCUUGCUACCACGAUCCACUGAGAUUCAGCCCGUUGU
rnacentral:rRNA from 1 species